rnacentral:rRNA from 1 species
UACGGAGGGGGCUAGCGUUGUUCGGAAUUACUGGGCGUAAAGCGCACGUAGGCGGACUGUUAAGUCGGGGGUGAAAUCCUGGGGCUCAACCUCAGAAUUGCCUCCGAUACUGGCAGUCUCGAGUGCGGGAGAGGUGAGUGGAAUUCCCAGUGUAGAGGUGAAAUUCGUAGAUAUUGGGAAGAACACCAGUGGCGAAGGCGGCCCUCUGGUCCAGUACUGACACUCAAGUGCGAAAGCGUGGGGAGCAAACAGG